rnacentral:tRNA from 7 species
GUGGUUGUAGCUCAGCUGGUUAGAGCGCUGGUUUGUGGUGCCGGAGGUCGCCGGUUCGAAACCGGUCAUCCACCCUA